GCCUCUGUAGCUCAGUGGCAGCGCGCUCGUCUUGUAAAUCAGUGGUCGUGAGUUCAAUCCUCACAUUCUGGUA